GACUGGUCGACCGCGUUCUCGAUUCUUGGUGAAGUUUCUUCUCUGGCUGCCGCUAGGUUUCCUCUCGAAUCCGGCCGAUCCUCUCUCUCCGCUGGCUGGUCUUGCCGGCUGCGGCAGAUUCUGGCCGCUCCUCUCUCUUCAUCGGCAAUCUGGGUCUGGACGGUUGUUUCUUUGGCGGGAUUUCUUCGCCGGUUCGUUCGGCCGGCGUGGCCUGCUGGUUUACCCGAGUUGACAUACUGCUCGAAGGCGGCAGCGUUUGGAUCCGUCCCUCCGGCAUGCUUCACAGUUGGGGGCGUUGAUUCCGGGCGGUGCUGGUGGUGGGUUGCUGGUUACUGCUCUUCCUCUUCACUGAAGAUGGCGGUUCUUCUGUUGCCAACACACACAAACGCCUCAGCAGCACCUACUUCAUAAGUUGUUGUUCAUGUAGGGCCACUGGAGACCGAGCUCCCACCUGCACUUUUGGACGAACUUGUGCUGUUGCAUCUAGGCAUGCACCGGCAGAGGCAAAUGGUGUAGAGGAAGGACCAGGGCUCAUCAAGCAACAAGAAUGCACGGUCGGGGCAUGUGCUGACACAGCUCAUUCACGUCGCGAUGAAGUUCCAGACCGGCGACAUUCACCUCUACAUGAUGGAUCCCGUGCCUCUGAUCAUGUUGCUGAUCACGCCCGACACACGGUCUUCUUCGUGGCAGGGGUAAACUCAUGGAUACUGCAGUUUACACCCUCGCUAAUUUGAGCUAUGUAUUCAUGGUUCCUAGACCUGCCAUCAAGUUUGGGCAUACACACGAUUUGGAAAGAAAGAACUUAGGAUUCUACUGAGGUUCUGUGCAACACAUUUAGCUUGGCAACAUGUGAGAAAAUUGCACGAUUGAAUUUGAAACAUUUGUCAAAGGCCGAUCAUACAGUGUACCUAUUGCGGCUGAUUAUCCUUCAGCAUAUUUGCGCCGCCCUUCAGUUGCCCAUCAAUUCCAUCCAUACCAUCCGCCAUAGCAAUGGCCCUUCAAGGGGUAUAUCAACAUAGGGAUACUGUCAACUCCUAGACGUCAGCCGUCCCAAGGUUCUUCCAAGGCGACCACAUGCCCACCGAGUUUGCCGCUGUGGAGUGUGCAUGGGAGAGCACACACAAGAUUGUCAAAGUUGAGAAUCAUUCCCCAAACAACAGGCGGAUCAGCUCUAUGCGGCAUCAUUGACUUACCAGCCACCCCAUCAGGGCGUGGCAAGAAAAGGCACAGCAUCAGUCCAACUGCCUACAAAUAUUUAGAGGGAGGCUGCCUAGAAUAACUAAUUAGAAAUAGAAAGAAAAAUAAAAUACUUUCUCUGAUCCAAAUUAACUGGCGCAGCGAUAUACUAUGUAUUAUCAGCUCCCAUUACACAAAUUAAGUAAUACUUUUUUUUUGCCCAAUACAAUUGAGUGGUGAACUAAUAUUUUGUGUUUAUUUGCAUGUGAGUUUCUGAAGUUGUUAGUACGUGCUCUAAAUGAAUUUUAGUCACAACUUUUUUGUGGGAACUGAAAUGUCAGUAAUCUUCUUGAUUAGCAGGUCAUAGAAAUUUCAUAUGCAUGUGUGUUAAUGUAUUCUGAGCUUCUCACUGGUCAGAUCUGAAACAGGUGUAACCCAACCAUUGUACCUGAAGCAGCUGUUAGUCUUGGUUUAUACCUAUGCACGCCC